rnacentral:rRNA from 1 species
AAUAUUGCACAAUGGGCGCAAGCCUGAUGCAGCAACGCCGCGUGGAGGAAGACGGUUUUCGGAUUGUAAACUCCUGUUCUUAGUGAAGAAGAAUGACGGUAGCUAAGGAGCAAGCCACGGCUAACUACGUGCGCACAGCCGCGGUAAUCAGUAGGUGGCAAGCGUUGUCCGGAAUUACUGGGUGUAAAGGGAGCGCAGGCGGGGGAGCCAGUCAGCUGUGAAAUCCAUGGGCUUAACCCAUGAACUGCAGUUGAAACUGUUCUUCUUGAGUGAAGUAGAGGUUGGCGGAAUUCCGAGUGUAGCGGUGAAAUGCGUAGAUAUUCGGAGGAACACCGGUGGCGAAGGCGGCCAACUGGGCUUUUACUGACGCUGAGGCUCGAAAGUGUGGGGAGCAAA